rnacentral:lncRNA from 1 species
AUGCUUCAUGUUUCAACAGCCAGAAAAUGCCUGACAUCUAUAUAUCAGGCAGAUUUAUGGAGACUUCAGGGUAAAGAGAGAAAGAGGAGCUCAACCCCCUUUGCUCUGGAUAUGCAGCUCCGAGGAGAUGUCGCAAGGCUUUAUAAUCAUGAUUUCAAAAAGUACCAUCUUGAUCCUCCUGGCUUUUUGGAUUCACUGCUAUGUUUGGGUCUAUUCCUUGAAACCUUACCUACAGAAUGUUUAAGCCCCAAAGCCUAUCUACCAGGUGGAUAAUUCUCCUACCCUAACAUUAGCCACACCCCACAGAAGAUGGAAAACCGCCAGGAUCAGUGGCUUUGAAGAUGAAAGGCCUGGAUUCUAAAAUUGGCUUGUGAUGGACAAACUUGGGCAAGAAACUCCCAUGAAUCUCAGUUUUUCCACCUGUAAAAUGGAGUUGAGAAUAGUGGCUACCUACACACCUCCUCAACCCCCCACCCUCACCAGUUGAUUUGAAGGAUCAUUUUAGACGAUUCAUGUGAAACAUGAAGCAGAGUCCUGGCACACAGUACGCACUCAGUCAACGCUGUUAACCAUUACAGCAGGAUCACUAUAAACCUUUGUAGAAUUGAGUCACGCACACUGACAGGAGAGAAGCCAGAGGUUACAAAAAUGACUGAACAAGGCACCUUGUGAAGCACUAAGGCAUUUGGCCUUCAGAGAUCUUUCAGCUGAAAAGUUACAGGUAGGUAUUAGAGUCAAUGCAGGUGUAAAGACAGCUAAGCAGAACAAGGAGAGGAGAAAAGAGGUAAUCUUUUAAGAAGAGGUAAUCCUUAAGAAGGAAAACUGAUUUGAGUCCUCGGACCGUCACAAAUGCCUUGAAUAGCCUGAUGAAACAUACCAGAUAUUAGAGAUGGGGCAGAGUGGUUUGCUGUUCAUCACACUUAAUUCCCUUUCUUCCUGGCACAUGGACAGACUACAAUGAUCAGUACCCCUCUCUUGUAGUGGGGUGUGGUCAGGAGACAAAUACUCCAAUAACUGGGGGAGUGCAGGCAGAAUGGCCAUUGCUAAGCUUGGCCCAUGAAACUGCCUGAGUGGUCUUCUGCCCUCUCCUCAUGCCUGGUUGUGGACAUCCUUGGAUUCCUCGUGAUAAAGAUGGUAUAGCCUCCAUCAGCCUGGGCCCUUGAAUGACCACAUGGAACAGCCUCCUCCUGUUUUACUCCUGCAUCUAUGUCAACUGGACUAUAUGUGAAUAGAAAAUUAAUGUGCAUGAAGUUAAACCACCAACUGGAGAGUUAUCAUAACUGAAUCAGCCUCCAAUUCAUAACUGAAUUUUCCCCUAGUCUUUUCUGCCCCUGAAAUUAAGUAUGUGACCCAGCCUUUUCCCAAUAGGAACAUUUUACAUUUUGACUCUAUUUUUCCUUAAAAUGUAAAUAAGGCAAAAUUGUUCUUGGUACUUAAUUAAUUCUGUUGAUGAACAUAACUUCAUCUUCAAGGAAAUUCUAAGUAAAUUAACAUGAAAGUAACUCUAUGGAGGCUUAUAAAUUUUAGGAUAUUAAAGAACCAACCACAGUGAGAAAUGGGACAGUAUGAGAUGAAUGAGGACUCUACAUUCAUCCAAACAUCUCUAACUCAACUAAAACUCCGCACAGGAAGUAGGCCAUUGAAAAGCUAGAAAACAAAAUUAUGAAUCAAUGUUCUACUUAUAUAAUAUUAUCAAAUACAUUUUAGGAUGCUUUUUGAAAAUUAAAAUAAUUUUACGAUUUUUUUCCUCACCAUAAAAUAAAU